GGUCAAGCGAAUAAGCGCACACGGUGGAUGCCUAGGCGGUCAGAGGCGAUGAAGGACGUGGUAGCCUGCGAAAAGUGUCGGGGAGCUGGCAGCAAGCUUUGAUCCGGCAAUAUCCGAAUGGGGAAACCCACUGCUUCGGCAGUAUCUUGCAGUGAAUUCAUAGCUGCUUGAAGCGAACCCGGUGAACUGAAAUAUCUAAGUAACCGGAGGAAAAGAAAUCAACCGAGAUUCCCUGAGUAGUGACGAGCGAACGGGGAACAGCCCUUAAGCUGGAAUGGCUUUAGAAAAACAAUCUGGAAAGAUUGGCCAUAGAAGGUGAUAGCCCUGUAUUUAAAAGGGCCACUCCAGUGAAGACGAGUAGGGCGGGGCACGUGAAACCCUGUCUGAAUAUGGGGGGACCAUCCUCCAAGGCUAAAUACUCCUGACCGACCGAUAGUGAACCAGUACCGUGAGGGAAAGGCGAAAAGAACCCCGGAGAGGGGAGUGAAAUAGAUCCUGAAACCGUGUGCGUACAAGCAGUAGGAGCUCGCAAGAGUGACUGCGUACCUUUUGUAUAAUGGGUCAGCGACUUACUGUUCGUGGCAAGCUUAACCGUAUAGGGGAGGCGAAGGGAAACCGAGUCUGAUAAGGGCGCAUAGUCGCGGGCAGUAGACCCGAAACCGGGUGAUCUAGUCAUGGCCAGGGUGAAGGUGCCGUAACAGGUACUGGAGGCCCGAACCCACGUCUGUUGCAAAAGACGGGGAUGAGCUGUGAUUAGGAGUGAAAAGCUAAUCGAACCCGGAGAUAGCUGGUUCUCCUCGAAAGCUAUUUAGGUAGCGCCUCGGACGAAUACUACUGGGGGUAGAGCACUGUUAUGGCUAGGGGGUCAUCGCGACUUACCAAACCAUUGCAAACUCCGAAUACCAGUACGUACUAUCCGGGAGACACACGGCGGGUGCUAACGUCCGUCGUGAAAAGGGAAACAACCCAGACCCACAGCUAAGGUCCCAAAUUCACUGCUAAGUGGAAAACGAUGUGGAAAGGCAUAGACAGCCAGGAGGUUGGCUUAGAAGCAGCCACCCUUUAAAGAAAGCGUAAUAGCUCACUGGUCGAGUCGGUCUGCGCGGAAGAUUUAACGGGGCUAAGCAGUGAACCGAAGCUUGGGGUGCGUAAAACUUCGGUUUUAUGCGCGGUAGAGGAGCGUUCCGUAAGCCUGCGAAGGUGGAUUGAGAAGUCUGCUGGAGGUAUCGGAAGUGCGAAUGCUGACAUGAGUAACGAUAAUGCGGGUGAAAAGCCCGCACGCCGAAAGCCCAAGGUUUCCUUGCGCAACGUUAAUCGACGCAGGGUUAGUCGGUCCCUAAGGCGAGGGCGAAAGCCGUAGUCGAUGGGAAGCAGGUUAAUAUUCCUGCACCUCGCGUGAGUGCGAUGGAGGGACGGAGAAGGUUAGGUGUACCGGGCGUUGGUUGUCCCGGGGAAAGGCGGUAGGUUUGGAUCUUUGGCAAAUCCGGGAUCCUUUAAGACCGAGCACCGAGACGAGCCUUUAUGGCGAAGUCACUGAUACCACGCUUCCAGGAAAAGCUCCUAAGCUUCAGCUCACGAAGACCGUACCGUAAACCGACACAGGUGGGUAGGAUGAGAAUUCUCAGGCGCUUGAGAGAACUCGGGUGAAGGAACUAGGCAACAUGGCACCGUAACUUCGGGAGAAGGUGCACCCUUUUUGGUGGCUCAUGCGAGCUAUAGCUGAAGAGGGUCGCAGAAACCAGGCCGCUGCGACUGUUUAUCAAAAACACAGCACUCUGCAAACACGAAAGUGGACGUAUAGGGUGUGACGCCUGCCCGGUGCUGGAAGGUUAAUUGAUGGGGUCAGCCGCAAGGCGAAGCUCUUGAUCGAAGCCCCAGUAAACGGCGGCCGUAACUAUAACGGUCCUAAGGUAGCGAAAUUCCUUGUCGGGUAAGUUCCGACCUGCACGAAUGGCGUAACGACAGCGGCGCUGUCUCCACCCGAGACUCAGUGAAAUUGAAAUCGCUGUGAAGAUGCAGCGUUCCCGUGGCAAGACGGAAAGACCCCGUGAACCUUUACUAUAGCUUUACACUGAACGUUGAGUUCGUCUGUGUAGGAUAGGUGGGAGGCUAUGAAACUGUGGCGCUAGCUGCAGUGGAGCCAACCUUGAAAUACCACCCUGUCGUGCUUGACGUUCUAACCUAGAUCCGUUAUCCGGAUCAGGGACCGUGUAUGGUGGGUAGUUUGACUGGGGCGGUCUCCUCCUAAAGAGUAACGGAGGAGCACGAAGGUACGCUCAGCGCGGUCGGACAUCGCGCACUGUGUGCAAAGGCAUAAGCGUGCUUGACUGCAAGAUCGACGGAUCAAGCAGGUACGAAAGUAGGUCUUAGUGAUCCGGUGGUUCUGUAUGGAAGGGCCAUCGCUCAACGGAUAAAAGGUACUCCGGGGAUAACAGGCUGAUACCGCCCAAGAGUUCAUAUCGACGGCGGUGUUUGGCACCUCGAUGUCGGCUCAUCACAUCCUGGGGCUGUAGUCGGUCCCAAGGGUAUGGCUGUUCGCCAUUUAAAGUGGUACGCGAGCUGGGUUCAGAACGUCGUGAGACAGUUCGGUCCCUAUCUGCCAUGGGCGUUGGAAGUUUGAGAGGGGCUGCUCCUAGUACGAGAGGACCGGAGUGGACGAACCUCUGGUGUUCCGGUUGUCACGCCAGUGGCAUUGCCGGGUAGCUAUGUUCGGAAGCGAUAACCGCUGAAAGCAUCUAAGCGGGAAGCGCGCCUCAAGAUGAGACUUCCCGGGGCACAAGCCCCCUAAAGGAACCAUAUAGACUAUGUGGUUGAUAGGUCAGGUGUGUAAGUACAGCAAUGUAUUGAGCUAACUGAUACUAAUGAUCCGUGCGGCUUGACCAU
rnacentral:rRNA from 1 species